rnacentral:tRNA from 1 species
UCCCGCGUAGCUCAGUUGGUAGAGCAGCCGGCUGUUAACCGGCGGGUCGCAGGUUCGAGUCCUGCCGCGGGAGCCU